UCUGUGACCAUAGCACCCUUAAUGCUCCUGGUGUCUUCAGAUCUUGGAGGCUAAGCAGGGUCUGGCCUGGCUGAUACUUUGAUGGGAGAUGUAAAUGGACUGAAUCCUCAGAG
rnacentral:rRNA from 1 species